UUUUAAUACUUUGCAGGGUUGGAAAAUCUGGAAGUCCUUGACCUGAGUGUGAAGAGAGAGCUGGAUAGUUUCACUGUUAUUCUAGUUUGUUUGAAUUUCCUUCCAUCUCUCAAGUCUUUAUAUUUAUCAUCCAACAGGUAUUUAUCACACAACAGGUUCAAUGUAUUCAACGAUUUUGAAACUCUGUCAUCGAAGUUGCUUAGAUUAGAAGUCCUUGACAUAAGUUGGAACUAUUUGACUAAUGACAUUUUGCCAUCUCUCGAGGGAUUCACGUCUCUGAAAGAACUCUAUUUGUCUGGCAAUGAAUUUGACUCGGAUAAUCAUAUCCAAGGUUUAUGCCCUAUGUUGAAAAAUCUUGAGGUCCUUGACUUGUCUUACAACAACUUCAAUGACAGUGAUAUUGCAUCUGCUCUCAAUGGACUUUCUUCUCUCAAGUCUUUAAAUUUAGGAUACAGUGAAUUGACUCCAAGAUCAAUUCUUAAUAUAUCAAAGAUAAGGUCUAUAGAGAUUCUUGAGAUGGAG
rnacentral:sRNA from 1 species